CUGCAGGAGGCCUGGCAGCAACAUUGCCUGGCUGUAGAGCUACUGUGAAUGACCCAGAGGCUGUUUAUUGAUUGGCCCAACUGGGAACUUCAGCUCUAAAACUCUCCUGAAUCUUGGGCAAUUCUGGCUAUUGUUGAAAAAUCUGGUACUGCACUAGAAUCUGCCUAAGUGCUGACUAAUGAGACCAACAUGCAAGGAAGACUGCAUGUGAAGCAUGCAUGUGAAGAUUAAAAAAAGUACCCUCGACAUGCUGUGAUAGUCAGCAAACUGGUGAGGGGAAUGAGGAGGAAAGAGAAACAGAAGCAGAGAGAGAGAUAGUUGACCUAGUGGGAUUGUGUGGCAGAUUAAUGAAGAUUCCAUAUUGUAUGAAGUACCCGAGCCAAGCCUAUAAUUUGCCACAAAUAAUGUGACAACAUUUCACAGUAUUGUCAGCCUUAUUUGAUGCUCAGAAUUAUCCACUGACUAAUUCUGGCAAGCAACUCUCGGCAUAGGGAUUAGGCAUGAGCAUUCAAUAUUUGCAUGGUCUGCUGUUGUUCUUUCUUGACUAUUUUGUCUGCAUGCAGGGUGAGGUACCUCUUCCCCGCUGAUGACUGUGUCAUCAGAUAGCCAGUGUUCGGGGUUUGGGUGAAUUUUUACUCCAAGGAUUGGUUUGUUUCCAUUAGUAUAUCUGAUUGCAAAGCUUAAAAAUAAACAGUAGCAUGUUUUCUUGGGGUAGCCACAGCACUGUAUGCCUCCAACAUUUUGCAAGGUUCAGCUUUUAAUAUGCUCAAACCUGCAGUAUUUCCUAUCACAAUUAAUUCUUUUGCUAUUCUCUGCUCUAUGAAGUCUUCAGAUCACAGUCUGCAUUAAGGCAUGAAAGGAGGCCCAGAUAGAGAUCUCAGAGGCCUUUUAGUUUCCUAUGAACUACGGAGCUCACAUACCCUACGAAUCUGUAUAGCCAACAAAAUGGAGACAUAAGCUGAUGGGACUGCAAGUACUUCUUCAUAAGGUUCAGUACAGGGUCCUGAUCAUGUCAGUCCUUGUUCAACAUUGCAAAACAGCUCAUAUGCUGCCCUGUUCUCUGUAGGAAGACAGUGUCACUUGUGGGACUGCCUGUCCUUCCUCUGAGCCUGUGUACUUCUCCAAGGGCCUGUGAGGCUCCUUGUACAUAGUUAAAUACAUGUCAGUGCUUGACUAUGACAAAAGAAAAACUUGACUAUGGCAAGGAAUUCUAUUCUCAAAAAGCUACCAAAUCUUU